CAACAACUCCAAGUCAGUCAUGUGAAAAUCAUCUUAUCCUUUUCUCUCCCCUCCUCCUCAUAUCUUUUUGGAAAGAAACACCGGGAGUUGCUUUUGUGAUUGAUUUCAUAUGGUUUUAUUCUGGUUUGUUUUAACUUAGCACCAGGAAAACUACAGUCCAUCAGAUUUUCAAUAAUUGUUUGUGACGGGAUUUUAAUGGCAUGCUGUUUUGUUGAUUUGCUAAUAUCUAUAUUUUAAUGAAUUUAAAAUGUUAUUAAAUUCGAUUUUUUAAAUUUUUCUGAAAAUAACAAGUACAGAUUUUUAAAAGUACUAUCCCAGAAGACUGGAGAGCAUCAAAUGAGAUACCACACAUUCUCUGUUACAUACAGAACCCCUUUUGUCUCAAUUUUAUUCUUCAACAUUUCAAUAUUUUUAAUAUUACUAAAAUUGUCUUUCUAAAAUUUGUUUAUGAGAUUUGUGAAGGUGUGUUAUAUUUUUAAGAAACAGUAUCACCAACAGAAUUGUGAGCAGAGACAGAAAAGAAGUUUGGUGUUUGUUUGUCAGAAUUAUCAGUCUUUGAAACAAACAACACUUUCAUCUAGAGUUGGGAGAUAAAUUUCACUUAAAAAGAAGUUCACAACAACAACAACAACAACAACAACAACAACAACAACUUAUUUGUUACUUGCCUCUCAUGGCUUAAGACGGAAUACCAUAUAGUUUUUUUUUUUUCGUGUCAGGAGCAACCGAAGUUGCUUCUAGAGUGAGAGAAUUGGCCGUCUGCAAGGACGUUGCCCAGGGGAUGCCCAGAUGUUUUGAUGUUUUUACGAUCCUUGUGGGAGGCUUCUCUCAUGUCCCCGCAUGGAGCUGGAGCUGAUAGAGGGAGCUCAUCCGCACUCUCCCCAGGUGGGAUUUGAACCUGGCAACUUUCAGGUCAGCAACCCAACCUUCAAGUCACUUAGCCCACUACACCAUCUGGGGGCUCACCAUAUAGUUAAAACACACAGAUAACAUAUAAUACUAUACAAUCAAUAUUAAUAAAAUGUAGAGUUACAGCUUGUAACAUUGGCUUUUUUACAAAAUGAAAAUGUUCAGUUUAUGCAUACUUUAAAAAAGAAGUCUCAUUACCAUAGCUUUCCCCCAGUUUUGUGCUGUAUAUGUGAUUGUGGCAUGUGGUUAGAAAUUAAGACAAAAUCAGAAUUGAUAUGCAUUCAUAAAGGAGCUGGAGUUACCCCAUAUUUUUUAUUGCCUUUUUAGCAGUUUGUCAUUACAUUUAUUUCACUGAAUAAGGAUAAACAAGCAAGAAGACUGUACUAUUUCCUAUUGUAAGAGGACACAUACAGGAAAGAGUUAAAUAAAACUGAUGAUUUUUGCAGUACUACCACCAUCUUUUUAAAAGUUAAACUUGAUUUUGCAAAGCCGCAUUUUAUGCUGUUUGAGCAUUGAGUAACUCAGCUUCAUGUCUCAAUUAUUUAAUUCCAAGUCUACAGAGGGACUCUUAAAAUAACAGCUUCAUGGGCCCUACGCCAAGAUUCAGGUAUUUUUUUGGAUCCAUACACAAUGGAAGGAUGGAUGGAAAAGCUGCCAACAGAGAAAGUUACACUGCUGGCUCCAAAGCAGCUUGGGGGAAGACUCCCUGUGUUGUCCCAUUGGCACUGUUGUCCCCAUCAUCCUUUUAUUUGUGCCACUGUUUACAUUACCACCCUCACCACCAAUACUGGUAUAGAAUUAGAAAGUUGGAAGAGGUGUUAUAGGCCACCAGGUUCAACCUUCAGCUCAGCAAAGGAUUUCCAGUUAGAAAAUCCCAGCAGGUAGCUUUCCAGCCCCUUUCUGAAGACAUCCAAAGAAGAAGAUCUCACUACCUCUCUAGGCUGCAGACAAGCAGGCACAUGUGCUUUAAGGAGCUUCAUAUCUUCUACUCUAGAGGAGAGCUGCUUGGCUGCAGGAAGGUGCACACUUGAAGGAGGCUUCUUGUUUAGAGCUUUUUUCUACUCUAGAGGAGAGGUGCUCAGCUGCAGGCAGGCAUGCUUGCAUUAAGGAGGCUUGCCAGGUAAAGCUUCUGCAGGGCCAACAAAUUUUUGUUUGUGAGAGAUAACAGUUGGAUGUGGUGUUUUGUUCAGAUCAAUGUGGUCUUGAGUAGACUUGUGUAUUUCUAUAAAAUUGCUACACAUUUCUGUUUGUUCCAUUUGUAUGGCCCCAUUUACGUGUCUGUCUGCUGCUUACAAAACCAGCACCCAUCCAAAUGAGAUCUUUCAUUUCACAAUCAGAAUAUUGAAAUGCAUUCAUCCCAUUGGUGGCAUUGGGCGGGCUGCCCAGGCUCUCCUUCCACUCAGUUUUAGGGCUAGAGAAUCACCACGCAUGGAGGGAAUAUCUACCACUUUUAGCCCUCCAACUCUUACAAGGUUUGGGUCCUCCCUCGAAUUUUAGAAAUUUUUUCUUUCUAUAAAUAAAA